rnacentral:rRNA from 1 species
CAACAGGGAUUCCCUUUGUAAGGGCGACUGAACCGGGAAGAGCCCAGCGCAUAACCUCGCGUCCGGCCAGGGCGCGAGGGGUGUUGCGUUUCGGAGGGGUCCAGCACGUCGUCCCACACCGCCUAAGUCAUGCUUGAAAGCGGCCACUACCCGUGGAGGGUGAUAGGCCCGUGUGGCGGCGCCCGCGAGGGCAGGCGUGGGGCGGUCGGAAAGGGCCUCUCUGUAGAGUCGGGUUGCUUGAAAGUGCAGCCCAAAGCAGGUGGUAAACUCCAUCUAAGGCUAAAUAUGACCACGAGACCGAUAGCGAACAAG